CAGUAGCCGCGGGAAUACGGAGGGUGCAAGCGUUAUCCGGAUUUAUUGGGUUUAAAGGGUCCGUAGGCGGACUUAUAAGUCAGUGGUGAAAGCCUGUCGCUUAACGAUAGAACUGCCAUUGAUACUGUAAGUCUUGAGUAUAUUUGAGGUAGCUGGAAUAAGUAGUGUAGCGGUGAAAUGCAUAGAUAUUACUUAGAACACCAAUUGCGAAGGCAGGUUACCAAGAUAUAACUGACGCUGAGGGACGAAAGCGUGGGUAGCGAACAGGAUUAGAUACCCGAGUAGUCCCUGUCUCUUAUAA
rnacentral:rRNA from 1 species